GAUUCAGCCUAUCCUAUGCCUUAAUUUAAUUCAAACCAAACCAGUAUUUGAAGUCAUACUAUAUCUACUCUUUUAAGUGAGGAGGCAUGUAUGAGCCUUAACUACUAUUUGUUCCCCUGUUAACUACUAUUUGUUUUUUUGCUUCUCGCCUAGAUUUUAAUCCCUUUGAACUCUGAAAAGGCCCCAACUUCCCACCUUUAGGAAUAAUAGUAUGGAUGCCUGCGGGACUGAUA
rnacentral:lncRNA from 1 species